rnacentral:rRNA from 1 species
ACACGUAAGUUGCGAGCGUUGUUCGGAAUUAUUGGGCGUAAAGGGCAUGUAGGCGGUCUUGCAAGUCUGGUGUAAAAUGGUUGUGCUCAACACAAUCAUGCGCUGGAAACUGUACGGCUAGAGUCAACGAGGGGAUGCCGGAAUUCCAGGUGUAGGGGUGAAAUCUGUAGAUAUCUGGAAGAACACCGAUGGCGAAGGCAGGGAUCGGGCGACUGACUGACGCUGAGGCGCGAAGGUGCGGGGAGCAAACAGGUUUAGAUACCCUGGUAGUCCGCACAGUAAACGAUGUGCACCAGGUGGCGGGCAGCAGUGCUCGGUACCGAAGCAAACGCAUUAAGUGCACCGCCUGGGGAGUAUGCCCGCAAGGGUGAAACUCAAAUGAAUUGGCGGGG